GAUGAACGCUAGCGACAGGCCUAACACAUGCAAGUCGAGGGGCAUCGGGACGUAGCAAUACGUUGCCGGCGACCGGCGGAUGGGUGAGUAACGCGUAUGCAACCUACCCGUAGCAGGGGGAUAGCCCGUUGAAAGACGGAUUAAUACCCCGUAACACAGGGGCUCCGCAUGGAGAUUAUUGUUAAAGGGUCAUUUCUUCUUCAGGGAUGGUCCGGCUGCGGAUGGGCAUGCGUUCCAUUAGGUAGUUGGUGUAGGUAACUGCUCACCAAGCCGACGAUGGAUAGGGGAACUGAGAGGUUGGUCCCCCACACUGGUACUGAGACACGGACCAGACUCCUACGGGAGGCAGCAGUGAGGAAUUUUGGUCAAUGGACGCAAGUCUGAACCAGCCAUGUCGCGUGAAGGAGGACGGCCCUAAGGGUUGUAAACUUCUUUUGCAGUGGAAUAAAGUUUGCCACGUGUUGGCGAUUUGCAAGUACGCUGCGAAUAAGGAUCGGCUAACUCCGUGCCAGCAGCCGCGGUAAUACGGAGGAUCCAGGCGUUAUCCGGAUUUAUUGGGUUUAAAGGGUGCGCAGGCGGGGAAUUAGGUCGGCGGUGAAAUUUCGGGGCUCAACCUCGACAGUGCCGUUGAAACCGUUUCUCUUGAGUGCGGAUGAGGUAGGCGGAAUUUGUGGUGUAGCGGUGGAAUGCGUAGAUAUCACAAGGAACACCGAUUGCGGAGGCAGCUUACUAAACCGUUACUGACGCUCAUGCACGAAGGCGUGGGGAUCAAACAGGAUUAGAUACCCUGGUAGUCCACGCAGUAAACGAUGAUUACUUGCUGUUUGCGAUACACAGUAAGCGGCGUAGCGGAAGCGUUAAGUAAUCCACCUGGGGAGUACGUUCGCAAGAAUGA
rnacentral:rRNA from 1 species